ACAGAGCUGAGACUGGACAGACAGCUGCAACUCACCCAGUAUGAGGAGGUAGGAACAGAUCUGAGACUGGACAGACAGCUGCAACUUACCCAGGAUGAGGGGAGGUAGGAACAGAGCUGAGACUGGACAGCCAGCUGCAACUCACCCAGGAUGAGAGGAGGUAGGAACAGAUCUGAGACUGGACAGACAGCUGCAACUCACCCAGGAUGAGAGGAGGUAGGAACAGAGCUGAGACUGGACAGACAGCUGCAACUCACCCAGUAUGAGGAGGAAGGAACAGAGUUGAGACCUUGACUUACCUUUAGCCAUGAUGUUCAACCAAGUCUCUCUGAUCAGUCGUAGGGGUCGUAGGUCAACACAGGAUCACCUUGCUGAACCCAGAACCUCUAAAAGAUUGGAAGAUGUUCAACCAAGUCUCUCUGAUCAGUCGUAGGGGUCGUAGGUCAACACAGGAUCACCUUGCUGAACCCAGAACCUCUAAAAGAUUGGAAGAUGUUCAACCAAGUCUCUCUGAUCAGUCGUAGGUCAACACAGGAUCACCUUGCUGAACCCAGAACCUCUAAAAGAUUGGAAGAUGUUCAACCAAGUCUCUCUGAUCGGUCGUAGGGGUCGUAGGUCAACACAGGAUCACCUUGCUGAACCCAGAACCUCUAAAAGAUUGGAAGAUGUUCAACCAAGUCUCUCUGAUCAGUCGUAGGGGUCGUAGGUCAACACAGGAUCACCUUGCUGAACCCAGAACCUCUAAAAGAUUGGAAGAUGUUCAACCAAGC